rnacentral:rRNA from 1 species
AGAGUUUGAUCCUGGCUCAGGACGAACGCUGGCGGCGUGCUUAACACAUGCAAGUCGAGCGGAAAGGCCCUUCGGGGUACUCGAGCGGCGAACGGGUGAGUAACACGUGAGCAACCUGCCCUUGGCUCUGGGAUAGCUCCGGGAAACCGGGAUUAAUACCGGAUGUGACUUCCUCCUGCAUGGGAGGCGGUGGAAAGUUU